GCCCAGGUGGUGAAAUCGGUAGACACAAGGGAUUUAAAAUCCCUCGGCGGCUGUAAGGCUGUGCGGGUUCAAGUCCCGCCCUGGGCACCA
rnacentral:tRNA from 1 species